rnacentral:lncRNA from 1 species
GAUUCCAAAAAAGAUAGCAAGAUGGCACAUGGAUUUAAGAUGUACUUAAACCGAAACAAUCCAUAUUUUCUGGAGAAAUUGCAGAGCAGCACAACAAAGGUUACAUGUUUUCUAUAGUUGAGAGAAACAAGUUCAUAUUAUCAACAGUACACCCACCACGCCAAGUUCUUAACUGAACAUAUGCAUUUGUUUCGGAGAUGGUGUUACAUCCUGUGAUAUAAAUGAAAAUUACAGCAAAACAAAAAACCUGCAAGAGAAGCAUUUUGCCAAACCAAAAGAUAAUUGAACCAUUGGAUCUUGAGCCGAUGUACUGCAUGCACUUCUUUGUUUGUACGGGAUGCACCUCUCUUUUGUGGUUCAUAUACUGAAGAUCCUUCAAUUCAGUUAUCAACACACCGCAACAGUCAUGCUUGCCACCUAUCUUUUGGAUGCACUCCCUUGUCAUUUUCUAUUGCUAAUUAGAGCACAUCAGGAGCACCGACUCAUGUGCGAAUGUGUAGCUCGCUUCAGACUAGACAGUACUCUAGCAAUACCUGUGCAAUUGAGCAACAAGUUCAGAACAGGAGAAGCAACCAGGAAUCAUUCGCACGAAGAGUACUAAAUAAAAAUAAGAAUUGCACUGAUCUAAAGUUAGUUUUAAACUGAGGGUGUCACUUUGGUGUGUGAUCAUUUCUUGUGAACAUUCAAUUAAACAUGUUUGGUGUCACUUGAUGCAAGAAGGUGGUGUCAAUCAAACAAUAGCUUUAUUUGGCAACAAAGAAACAUCAAGAAGGAUAUUUCAUUUCUUGUAAGCAAAUCAACAAAAACCUUAUUUCACAACAAGUAGAGAUGAAGUAGCAUCACCAGUACAUAUAGGAGACUCAUAGGCGAACUCUUAAUAUACAAGCAAAAUAGGACACUAGCUUUGUUUCCACACUUGUAAAAGCAUCAGCAAUGCAACCAACAGCAGUACAGAAUCAGCCAUUACACGAGUUCGAUAAUGCCACAACAUGAAAAGAGGAAUGGGGAAGGCCAGACCUCGUCGUUGUGUCAUUGAACGGCCUCAGCUAUCGACCGUGAACGGACUGUGGCGCCGGCGGUGAACACCACAUUGGAAGAAUGCUCAUGGGUGCACCUGCCUCUACUCAUGAGCGCCUGCAUCAAUGUGGGUUCAGCAUUCUGAACUACUGCAACACUAGCCACCCGCAUCAGAAUAACCUUUUGGUGCAAAACUAUUGUACAAUAAAAACACUCGGUUUUAUUUUGCACACACACACAUAGUACUGUCAUAUGUGUUUUUCACAAACUGAUGAUAGUUCACAUACUAAACUGGCACACCUAGUUUGUGUUUCAGGAAAUAAAAUAGAUGUCCUCGAGGUGAGUUUAUGAGGGAGGGUCCAGAGCCUCAGUAUGAUCCGGACCACGGCUGGAGCUGCGGAUGGUAGUGAAGCUCCACAUCCUCCGUCAUCGGUGAGCUCCGACCAUUGAUCACACGACGGAGGAAGCCAUGUACUGAUGAGAAUUCACAUAUUGAACUGGCACAGCUAGUUUGUGUUUCAGGAAAUAAAAUAGAUGAUAGUUCGUUUAUGAUGAUGAUAUUUCAGCAUUUCUUCCCAUGGCAGAAAAUCACCUGAAUCUUAAAAAGGACUGGAAAUCACAAAAUAAAAUGCAUUCAAGUAGCAAAAUUAGGAAGGGAUCAGAUAACACAUUUUAAUUUGAGCAACUUCUUAGUGGGACAUCACUUACAACUGCAGCGCUGGUUAACAAUUGUUAGACAUAUUGAUUGCUCAAAUAUAACGUAGGACUGAGAAUUCGUGUUUGUUCAGCAUGAAUUUUGAGAACUAAUUAAUCCCUAGAGGCUGGAUGAUCUUCUAUAGGAGUAAUUACUUGUUCUAUGAUCUCUGUCUUGAUGAGAUGUAAAGACUAGGUUCAGUUCCAAAAAAGUUAUUUAGCUUUCACUAUGGUUUACUGGCCUUUGCUGUGCAUUUCCAAGAUCAAAUGAAGUGUCAAAUGACCUGUUUUCACCAGUGUUGAUGUGGCUGUUGUAUUUCCCAUUAAGUAUGACGAGCUGACUGAAGAACAUUUCUGUACUACUGUAUUCAACUUUGAAGCUAAAUGAAAAUUGGUACAUAGUUUAUGACAGUAUGUUACGCUCAAAUUACAGCAAGAUAAUCAGAUGAAAAUACACUUUUGGAUCUGAUAACAAAUACGAGCAAUUUGGUGUUGUUCUGCCUGUCAUUACAACUACCAUUUUUACAAGAAAACCAAAAUCAUGUGGUCCUAUGGUUUGAUCUUUAACAUGCAAGUUGGCUUGUACAUGCUGAGAUGAGUUAUCUAAUAGAUCAUGGCAGCACAUGCUGAGACUUCAAUAUCUAACCAUCAAGCCUGAGCAUUAUCAUGUGCAUUGACUUAUACUACAAUAUCAUGUAAUAGUACAUUUUCAUCAACUCGAUAUUCAUCGGUACUAGUAUGCGUGGACAAUAAGUUCAGAUUUGUAGCAGCACACGCACGAAACUUACCGAUUUUUUCACUGGACUUGCAGAACUUUGAAACUUGAACUUCACAAAACCGGCGACCCCUCCCUUGAGCUAGCUGUAUCCUGGCCGCGACCACCACCUGGAUCCAGGACGAGGUGACCACCUGGAGCUGCCCAGGCUACCCGGUGGUGGGGAUCCAGCGGGGGCCUGUUCUGUGGCGAGCAUGGUGGCUUGUUGGCCUUGGCGGCCUACGCGCUCGAUGGUGGUAUACGAUAGGCGGAGCGCGGUGGAGGGAGUGAAGGGAGGGCCGGACAAGGAGAAGGAUCGCAGACGGACAGGAGAAGGGUCGCGAACGGAGGGAGGCGGGUGGAUGGACGCGACCAGCAUCCGAUGGAGGGAGUUGCCGAUGCUGUGGGGUGGAGGGAUCUGCAUCACCGGUCGUGGUGCGCGUCGUCGGGAGGAACUGCGAGGGGCGUCGCCGUGGAGUGGGGGGUGCGGUGCGCGUCACCGGAGUAGGCGUCGCGCAUUGCCGGGAGGUGGGGAGGCGUAUCACCGGGACUUGGG